AGGGAACUAGCUCAGUGGUAGAGCACAUGCUUAGCAUGCACGAGGUCCUGGGUUCAAUCCCCAGUACCUC
rnacentral:tRNA from 1 species